rnacentral:rRNA from 1 species
AUUGAACGCUGGCGGCAGGCCUAACACAUGCAAGUCGAGCGGAGCGGCGGACGGGUGAGUAAUGCCUAGGAAUCUGCCUGGUAGUGGGGGAUAACGUCCGGAAACGGGCGCUAAUACCGCAUACUAUCAGAUGAGCCUAGGUCGGAUUAGCUAGUUGGUGGGGUAAAGGCCUACCAAGGCGACGAUCCGUAACUAGUCUGAGAGGAUGAUCAGUCACACUGGAACUGAGACACGGUCCAGACUCCUACGGGAGGCAGCAGUGGGGAAUAUUGGACAAUGGGCGGAAGCCUGAUGUGGCCAUGCCGCGUGGAUGAAGAGGGCCUGCCGGUUGUAAAGUACUUUCAGUAGGGAGGCGGGACCGACAGAAGAAGCACAGGCUAACUCCGUGCCAGCAGCCGCGGUAAUAC